GGGUGUCAGAGAGAGAGAGAGAGAGAGAGAGAGAGAGAGAGAGAGAGAGAGAGAGAGAGAGAGAGAGAGAGAGAGAGAGAGAGAGAUUUUCCUAUCCUCUCUUCUAUAUCGUCAUCUGCUUAUUUUGCCGAGCUUGUUAACUAUACCUACGGAAUUCAAUGGCUGUUACAAGAUGUGGCUUCCUACACACACACACACACACACACACACACACACACACACACACACACACACACACACACACACACACACAAAGGCAAACGAUCUUCUGGUUUCUCACUUUCUUCACAAAAAUAGAUAAACUGACUUGCAUAAUUCCUCCGGAUUAGAAAUAUAUGUUCUCACUUUAAAAAAAAUCAA